GAUGAACGCUAGCGACAGGCCUAACACAUGCAAGUCGAGGGGCAGCACGGUGUAGCAAUACACGGGUGGCGACCGGCGCACGGGUGAGUAACGCGUAUGCAACCUGCCUACUACAAGGGGAUAACCCGUUGAAAGACGGACUAAUACCCUAUAACACAGGGAAUCCGCAUGGAUAUAUUUGUUAAAGAUUUAUCGGUAGUAGAUGGGCAUGCGUUCCAUUAGCUUGUUGGUGAGGUAACGGCUCACCAAGGCAACGAUGGAUAGGGGAACUGAGAGGUUGAUCCCCCACACUGGAACUGAGACACGGUCCAGACUCCUACGGGAGCAGCAGUGAGGAAUAUUGGUCAAUGGACGAGAGUCUGAACCAGCCAAGUCGCGUGAAGGAAGACGGCCCUACGGGUUGUAAACUUCUUUUGUAAGGGAAUAAAUAGUCUUACGCGCUAAGACGUUGCAGGUACCUUACGAAUAAGGAUCGGCUAACUCCGUGCCAGCAGCCGCGGUAAAAGUC
rnacentral:rRNA from 1 species